rnacentral:lncRNA from 1 species
CCCGGCGAUCGCCCCUCCGCUCCCCAGCCGUGGAACUCUCCCCGCCUCUGAGCUCGCAGAGAGCAGCUGUCUCCUGGGGCAGCACCGGCGGGGGAAGCAGAGCGCUUUCUGGGAGCCAUCACGGGAACGAGUGAAGAAGGCCGGGAGCUUAGCUGUGCAUCUUACACUCAGUUCAUUUCCCUUGGACGGGCUUGCAGUGCCUGCUCGGCAAUGUCCCAGCGCUGCCCCCAUGCGGCCUCCUGCCAUCCAGGUCCCCUCCAGGCCCACAGCUCCCCGACUCGGCCCCGCAGAGACUGACUGUCACGAGUUGGCUAAACAUGACAGCUGCCCCACAGGCUUGGAAGGCAACUUGACUAGCAGUGUGAGCGAUUAGACAGGACAAGAGCCUGGGGUAUUCUCUUAUGGGAUGAGGAAAGCCCAGGCUGUCCUCACUUCUGAAACUCGUGGCAAUCAUCAGGAAAGAGCAGCUGUCAAACUCGCCUCCUGCUCCAGUGGGGCCACCAGGCUGCAGCAGUCAUUCCUUAAUUGGUUUAUUAAUCUUCUAAGACGGUAGCCG